CUGAACCAUUUGAAGCCCUUGUGUUUGGGUCAGACGGCCUGGUAGGGGCUAUGUUCUGGGAGAGUCUGCGCCUGGCAUGUGGAGGCCUGUAUGCUGAAGGCCUGCAGCAGAAAGCAAUUGCAAUUUUAUUGGCAAAAUGUAUGAGCACCUCUCAAAAUUAGCACACAUUAGUAUAUAAUAUGGGCACAUGUGAUGCCUGCACUCAGAGCAUAGCACAAUAUCAGGGACGCCCCAAUAAACUUGACACAGAAAUUUCAGCAUGCGCCUCACCGAGAUGGAGAUGGGCGGUCUGGUGACUCUGCUGCAGAAGAGAUGGUGGAAGACUGCGCCACACUGGCAAGAGGCCAGGUCCCAUAUGCGCACAGUUUCCUCAGGCUGUCCAACAGAAUGCUGAGGCUCAUUUCCUGCACACUUUUU
rnacentral:lncRNA from 1 species